rnacentral:sRNA from 1 species
UAGCUCAGUUGGUCGAGCAGUUGACUUUUAAUCAAUUGGUCGCAAGUUCGAAUCCUGCACGACCCACCAAUAUACAAGGUAGAAACUGGUAGAUAACGUGAAGGUUAACGUUGCUUUAGCAGCGGCCCGAAGGGCGAAGCGAAGCCGAGUCAUCCUGCACGACCCACCA